UACGGGGGGAGCAAGCGUUGUUCGGAUUUACUGGGCGUAAAGGGCGCGUAGGCGGCCACUGCAAGUCGGUUGUGAAAUCUCCGGGCUUAACUCGGAAAGGUCAACCGAUACUGCAGGGCUAGAGUGCGGAAGGGGCAACUGGAAUUCUCGGUGUAGCGGUGAAAUGCGUAGAUAUCUGGAGGAACACCGGUGGCGAAGGCGGCAUCCUGGACCGAUACUGACGCUGAGGAGCGAAAGCCAGGGGAGCAAACGGG
rnacentral:rRNA from 1 species